rnacentral:lncRNA from 1 species
GCAGCAUGGCUGCAGUAAAGCUCUGGACCGAACCUAGUGUAUAGGACGCCCGCAGUAUUGGAGCCCGAGUGGAAAGCUAAGUGAGGGAGUCCUGUGGAAGUCCAUGGGCUCAGUCAUCUUAUCUGACGCACCCUUUCUUAGAUAAAGCCACUUAGAGUUGAGUUCCCCGCUAGCUCUAGCUGUGGCGAACCGUUCCUCCGCCUCUAGCCUGGGAUACAUGAAACUCCAUUUCAAAGAAGACAAAAAGGAAAUGAGUAACAACAAUAAAAAACUAGGUAAGCAAAGACUCCCUUUGUUUUUAGGACCCUUAGUAAUUUACAAGUGUUUCUGCCAAUAGAUCAGUAACUGAAAGCCACACUCUCAACUCCCCAUGUGUGGGGUGCAU